GCCGGCGUAGCUCAAUAGGCAGAGGCGUCGUGCUUUUAACACGAAGGUUCCGGGUUCGAGACCCGGCGUUGGUA